GGGGGACCCCGCGAGGGGUGGCCGCCGCGGGGCAUAUUCUCAACCUGCGUUGAAUCCCCCGAACGCCGCACUCAAAGGUUUUUGUGGUUUGAGAGCUUUUUCGGACCGAUUGGGGGGUGGGGUAUGGUAACUUACCUGUGGCAGAGUGUUUUGUGAGGACUCUGGCCAACAGUUAGAAAUUUCUUGGGGUUAAAAGAUGGAAGCGGAGGUCAAGCUGCCUGAACUUGUCUAAGGAUCACAGGCGGAUUCAUCCCCGCUGCAGGACUAGUCCCUUUGCUGUGUGAUGCCCUUAGAUGGGCGGGUCGCGCCGCGCCCACUGAAGUGAUCACGUGCAUCUGCUCACCCUUCCACAAGAGGUAGACACCCCAAGCAUCCUUUUUGAGAUUGGUAUUGGGGGGUGAUUAUAAUGCUCUCUACAAGAAGGACUCCCCCUCACGGGUCGCUAUAAGCGGGGAUAAUGCCCUGCCACCUGUAUUCACAAAUCGCCGCUACUACCUAGAGAGGGAUUUUUUAAUGUAG
rnacentral:rRNA from 1 species